UAGGGAAUCUUCCACAAUGGACGCAAGUCUGAUGGAGCAACGCCGCGUGAGUGAAGAAGGUUUUCGGACCGUAAAGCUCUGUUGUUGGUGAAGAAGGAUAGAGGUAGUAACUGGCCUUUAUUUGACGGUAAUCAACUAGAAAGUCACGGGCUAACUACGUGCCAGCAGCCGCGGUAAUACGUAGGUGGCAAGCGUUGUCCGGAUUAUUGGGCGUAAAGCGAGCGCAGGCGGAAGAAUAAGUCUGAUGUGAAAGCCCUCGGCUUAACCGAGGAAUUGCAUCGGAAACUGUUUUCUUGAGUGCAGAA
rnacentral:rRNA from 1 species